rnacentral:tRNA from 1 species
UCCCUGGCAGUCUAGGGGUUGAGACUCUGCACUCCCAGUGUAGAGAGCACAGGUUCAAUCCCUGGUUGGGGAA